rnacentral:rRNA from 1 species
UACGAAGGGGGCGAGCGUUGUCCGGAAUUACUGGGCGUAAAGGGCGCGUAGGCGGCCGAUCAAGUCAGAUGUGAAAGUCCUGGGCUUAACCUGGGGACUGCAUUUGAUACUGAUUGGCUUGAAUUCGGGAGAGGAUAGCGGAAUUCCUAGUGUAGAGGUGAAAUUCGUAGAUAUUGGGAAGAACACCGGUGGCGAAGGCGGCUAUCUGGACCGACAUUGACGCUGAGGCGCGAAAGCGUGGGGAGCAAACAGG